UACGUAGGGGGCUAGCGUUGUCCGGAUUUAUUGGGCGUAAAGAGCGUGUAGGCGGCCAGGUAGGUCUGCUGUGAAAACUCGAGGCUCAACCUCGAGACGUCGGCGGAAACCAUCUGGCUAGAGUCCGGAAGAGGAGAGUGGAAUUCCUGGUGUAGCGGUGAAAUGCGCAGAUAUCAGGAAGAACACCCGUGGCGAAGGCGGCUCUCUGGGACGGUACUGACGCUGAGACGCGAAGGCGUGGGGAGCGAACAGG
rnacentral:rRNA from 1 species